rnacentral:rRNA from 1 species
UACGGAGGGUGCGAGCGUUGUCCGGAAUCACUGGGCGUAAAGGGCGCGUAGGUGGCGCGGGCAGUCAACGGUGAAAGUUCGGGGCUCAACCCUGAAUCGGCCGUCGAUACUCCCGGGCUUGAGCACUGUAGAGGCAGAUGGAAUUCCGGGUGUAGCGGUGGAAUGCGUAGAGAUCCGGAAGAACACCGGUGGCGAAGGCAGUGUCCUGGGGAGUACCUGACGCCCAGGUGCGAAAGCCAGGGGAGCGAACGGG